rnacentral:rRNA from 1 species
AACCUGCCCAAUGUAAAGUAAUAUCAAUGGCCGCGGUACCUUGACCGUGCUAAGGUAGCGAAAUCAAUUGGCUUUUAAUUGGAGUCAGGUAUGAAUGGAAUUACGUGGUUCAGCUGUCUCCUUAAUAAUUAUUUGAAAUUACUAUAUAGAUGAAAAAGUCUAUAACAAGAAAAAAGACGAGAAGACCCUUAGAGUUUUUUUUAAAGUAAAUUUUAAUAUAUUUACAAAAGUUUAGUUGGGGCAACUAGAGAAAAUAUUAGUAACUUCUCAAAUAUAUACUAGCCGAUUAUUUUAAGUUUGUNUAAACU